AAACAUCUUGUAAAAUUUGUUGGAGAAUAUUUCUUUAGUAUAGCUUUUGGUGUCAUAGCGGGACACAUAUGACUACGAGCUCACUUGUGCAAAAUCGGUGCGGCAAGUGAUAGCAUGUGGGGAAAAUGAUGAGACGUUAGAGCAUUUUUUAUGUCAUUGCCCAGCUCUUGCAGCUAACAGAUACCGGUACUUAGGUGGGGACACGAUACCAGACAUGAACCAACAUUGAGGAGUGGUAUGGAAAACAAGGAAUUUAGCGCACAACAAGCCCAAGGCGUAUUUAUCAGGAGUGAAUUUGAUAUGUCAACUCAAUUUUAAAUUCGCCGUAUAAAAAUAUAAACUUCAAUAAAUAAUUUAUAAUUGA